AAUCUCCCUUGAGGGUUUCAGGGACCUUGAAAAGGGCAGGAGGACCUGCUGUCUUGCAGUUUUACCCCUGUCCACUCUCUGCCAUCCAGAAGCAAGCGUUGGUCAGUGUUGUGUCCCAGUAGCUGGGAAGGGCACGGCUUUGCCCUGAUCUGUUCUGCAGGGCUAGGAGUGAGCCUGCCACUAACCCCUCUCCACCACUUGCUCACUCUUGGCCUUGGCCUUGGCCUUUAGGUCCCUGGUGGAGGGAGAUGACCCAUGCCAGGUCCAGCACAAGAUGUGAAGAUUAAAUGCCUAUUCUUACUGAAGGUUUGAUGUGGAAUCAUGGCUGCAGUGAUAUGUUUUUAUCAGCGCUUGGUGGUUUUAAAGUGCAUGCUAUUUUAUUAUCUUCUUCUGAAUAAAAUGUAUUUACUC
rnacentral:lncRNA from 1 species